CCUACGGGUGGCAGCAGUGGGGAAUAUUGGACAAUGGGCGAAAGCCUGAUCCAGCCAUGCCGCGUGUGUGAAGAAGGCCUUCGGGUUGUAAAGCACUUUCAGUGGGGAAGAAAGCCUUGGGGCUAAUACCCUCGAGGAAGGACAUCACCCACAGAAGAAGCACCGGCUAACUCCGUGCCAGCAGCCGCGGUAAUACGGAGGGUGCGAGCGUUAAUCGGAAUUACUGGGCGUAAAGCGCGCGUAGGCGGUCUGAUAAGCCGGUUGUGAAAGCCCCGGGCUCAGCCUGGGAACGGCAUCCGGAACUGUCAGGCUAGAGUGCAGGAGAGGAAGGUAGAAUUCCCGGUGUAGCGGUGAAAUGCGUAGAGAUCGGGAGGAAUACCAGUGGCGAAGGCGGCCUUCUGGACUGACACUGACGCUGAGGUGCGAAAGCGUGGGUAGCAAACAGGAUUAGAUACCCGUGUAGUC
rnacentral:rRNA from 1 species